GCUCCAAUAGCGUAUAUUUAAGUUGUUGCAGUUAAAAAGCUCGUAGUUGGAUUUCGGGGUGGCUACGCCGGUCUCCUAACGGUUGUACUGGCGACGCCGCCUUGCUGCCGGGGGACGGGCUCCGCCUUCAUUGUCGGGACCGGAAUCGGCGACGUUACUUUGAGUAAAUUAGAGUGUUCAAAGCAAGCCUACGCUCUGAA
rnacentral:rRNA from 1 species